rnacentral:pre_miRNA from 1 species
ACUAUAUUAAUUUAUAAGAUUAUGUAACUCCUUACUAAGUGGUUUACUAUAACAUUACGGUAAAUAUCCUCAUGUGUUAUAGUAACUCAACUAUCGUAAAUAUGGAUACAUAUUAUCGUAAAUUAGUAUAAUA